rnacentral:rRNA from 1 species
AUUGAACGCUGGCAGUAGGCCUAACACAUGCAAGUCGAACGAGUGGCGGACGGGUGAGUAAUGUCUGGGAAACUGCCUGAUGGAAGGGGAUAACUACUGGCAACGGUAGCUAAUACCGGAUCCCAUAGGAUGUGCCCCGAUUGGCUUUGCUAGUAGGUGGGGUAACGGCUCACCUAGGCGCCGAUCCCUAGCUGGUCUGAGAGGCUGACCUGCCACAAUGGAACUGAGACACGGUCCAGACUCCUACGGGAGUCAUCAGUGGGGACUAUUGCACAAUGGGCGCAAGCCUGAGACAGCCAUGCCGCGUGUAUGAAGAAGGCCUUCGGGUUGUAAAGUACUUUCAGCUGGGAGACGGGAAACGAAGAAGAAGCACCGGCUAACUCCGUGCCAGCCGCCGCGGUAAUAG